rnacentral:rRNA from 1 species
UACGUAGGGGCCUAGCGUUGUCCGGAAUUAUUGGGCGUAAAGAGCUCGUAGGCGGUUCGGCAAGUCGGAUGUGAAAUCUCCACGCUUAACGUGGAGGGGCCAUUCGAAACUGCCGUGACUCGAGUCCGGUAGGGGAGUGUGGAAUUCCCGGUGUAGCGGUGAAAUGCGCAGAUAUCGGGAAGAACACCCGUGGCGAAGGCGGCACUCUGGGACGGUACUGACGCUGAGACGCGAAAGCGUGGGGAGCGAACAGG